rnacentral:rRNA from 1 species
GAUGAACGCUGGCGGCGUGCCUAAUACAUGCAAGUCGAGCGAACCACUUCGGUGGUGAGCGGCGAACGGGUGAGUAACACGUAGGUUAUCUGCCCAUCAGACGGGGACAACGAUUGGAAACGAUCGCUAAUACCGGAUAGGACGAAAGUUUAAAGGUGCUUCGGCACCACUGAUGGAUGAGCCUGCGGCGCAUUAGCUAGUUGGUAGGGUAAAGGCCUACCAAGGCGACGAUGCGUAGCCGACCUGAGAGGGUGAACGGCCACACUGGGACUGAGACACGGCCCAGACUCCUGCGGGAGGCAGCAGUAGGGAAUCGUCGGUAAUGGGCGAAAGCCUGACCGAGCAACGCCGCGUGAAUGAUGAAGGCCUUCGGGUUGUAAAAUUCUGUUAUAAGGGAAGAAUGGCUCUAGUAGGAAAUGGCUAGAGUGUGACGGUACCUUAUGAGAAAGCCACGGCUAACUACGUGCCAGCCGCCGCGGUAACAC